rnacentral:rRNA from 1 species
AGCUAGUUGGUGAGGUAAUGGCUCACCAAGGCUAAGACGGGUAUCCGGCCUGAAAGGGCGAUCGGACACACUGGAACUGAGACACGGUCCAGACUCCUACGGGAGGCAGCAGUGGGGAAUUUUGGACAAUGGGGGAAACCCUGAUCCAGCAACGCCGCGUGAAGGACGAAGGUCUUCGGAUUGUAAACUUCUUUUGUAGGGGACGAACAAUUGACUGUACCCUACGAAUAAGCCACGGCUAACUACGUGCCAGCAGCCGCGGUAAUACGUAGGUGGCAAGCGUUACUCGGAAUUACUAGGCGUAAAGCGCGGGUAGGUGGUCGAGAAAGUCUGCAAUGAAAGCUCCUGGCUUAACUGGGAGACGUGUGUGGAUACUGCUUGACUAGAGUGUGGGAGAGGUAACUGGAAUUCCUGGUGUAGCGGUGAAAUGCGUAGAUAUCAGGAGGAACACCGACGGCGAAGGCAGGUUACUGGCCCACUACUGACACUGAGCCGCGAAAGCUAGGGGAGCAAACAGGAUUAGAUACCCUGGUAGUCCUAGCUGUAAACGAUGUAGACUAGUUGUGGUGGGUAUCGACCCCCUCCGUGACGACGCUAACGCAUUAAGUCUACCGCCUGGGGAGUACGGCCGCAAGGUUGAAACUCAAAGGAAUUGACGGGGACCCGCACAAGCGGUGGAGUAUGUGGUUUAAUUCGACGCAACGCGAAAAACCUUACCUGGGCUCGAACGGUUGGAAGUAAAAGCUAUGAAAGUAGCGAUGACCUGUAAAGUCAGGAACUAAUCGAGGUGCUGCAUGGUUGUCGUCAGCUCGUGUCGUGAGAUGUUGGGUUAAGUCCCGCAACGAGCGCAACCCUCAUCCUAUGUUGCUAACCCGCAAGGGUGCACUCUUAGGAAACUGCCCACGACGAGUGGGAGGAAGGUGAGGAUGACGUCAAAUCCCCAUGGCCCUUAUGUCCAGGGCUACACACGUACUACAAUGGCUGGUACAACAGGUUGCAAUGCGGCAACGCGGAGCUAAUCCCUAAAACCAGCCUCAGUUCGGAUUGUGGGCUGCAAUUCGCCCACAUGAAGUCGGAAUCGCUAGUAAUCGCGAAUCAGAAGGUCGCGGUGAAUACGUUACCGGGUCUUGUACACACCGCCCGUCACACCACGAAAGUCCGUUGCAACAGAAGUGCUCUCUUUGAGGGUACGAAGUUGUGGCUGAUGAUUGGGGUGAAGUCGUAACAAGGUAACCGUACUAGUACGGAGUUUUG